ensembl:lncRNA
GCCCAAAUCAUUAUUGGGUCUCUCCAUUUAAAACAACAAUGACCAAAAAAAAAAAACAACUUAAAAAAAAAAUCUUCCCUAGAAAUCAGAUAAACCAAACAUGCCAUUGCCAUAUUCAAGAGUCAGUCUAUGACAUAAGGCAAGCUCUCCUUCAGAAAGAUGUAAAGUCCACUUGGGAGCCCAAAUUAGGCUUAUCAUCAAGGUAUUGAUAUUAAAAAGUACUGAGAAAGCUAUCAGUUAGAAUGCUUUAUGUAUUAGUACAUAUUUAAAAAUCAUAUCUGGAUCUUUCUUCAUUCCUGGGGUCACAGGGUGCAUGGGAAGUUUACAUGGGAGGAUGCACAGUUAUUUGUAGCAGUAUUUUCAGCAGGGGCUUGGACCAAACGACCCUUCAAGGUGACACAGUAUUUUUCGAGUCCACAAGCUGUGUUUAUAUCCAAUCCCAGCUCAGACAAGCUUCACUAACCACAGAAGUUGGGAUAGAAGCCAGAUGCAUCCCACACAUCCCUGUGGUCCUCCAGCCUUCUGGCAAACUCCGGGACCAGAUUGGAAAAAUCUGUGCCCGGUGUGGGGGCCAAGUUUGGCGUGAUCCGGGGAAGAUUUAUACGGCUUUGGUUGGAGUCCACACGCAGCGGCUCAUUUCUUCCAAGACGCACAACCGAGCAAUGACAGAAGGAACGAGAACAGCUGCAAGCACUGAGACUCUGUCAAGAAAGCCUCUUUCUUCUUUAGGUUAUCCAAGACCCACGCACUGCAACCAGAUGCAUGCCGUCCUGAGCCCAAACCCUCGACUUCUCUCCCAUCUCGGACUUUCAAAUUCUUAAAUUUGCCCUUUACUUAAAAAAGUCAAUGAUUUCACCAAGAAAGUUUGAUUAGUUUCUUUUACUUUCUGUAAUGAAGUGCCAUCCUUUUUACACUUGAAAGGAUCUUUGUAAUAAUGCAACAUUGAUCUUUUGAAUACAGAUGAGCUAACCUAGAUAAUAGGAUUUAGAAUGUGAGAGACUGGACUUGGGAUGAUAUUUAAGGCUCCAGUGCCAUCAAGAGGAAUUGCAGCAUAAGACAUCUGCUUCCAGAGACAUUGUCUGCCGCCACAUUAAUAGAUGGAGGAUCAUGUUCCCUACCGCACAAAGUUUUUAUUUUGUUCAGCAGCUUCAGAGAUGUCAAUAUGCUCUAUCUUCAGAUGUCAAUCACCCAGUGUGGGGAGGUGGUGGGGGAGAAGGGCGAGAUUUAGCCCUGAGAUCCAUCCUCUCCAGUCUGCAGCUUUCUACCUCAAAGGUGGAGAACUGGGAUUCAAAUUUGAUACUAGAAGACAGUUUAAUAAAACUUCAGGGGGAAAAAAAAAGAUAAAUCAUUUAUUC